GAUUUGGGUAAAUGAUGCAGAUGAAAGGGGCAUUUGAAAGAACUAGUCAUGGACUUAUAAACAUGCCUGAAGAUCAAGAGUUGACCAGAUGUUCUUCAGACAAGGUCCAUGUCUCAACCGCAGAAUAACCUGAAAGCAAAAGCCCACUGAUGACACUCUUCUCACUAUUCGAGAUCAACUCUGCAUUGCCCCACACAGAUGCACAGAGCAUAUCUGUACCAAAAGAUGUGGUUCAAAUUGUACUGAGAUGGAAUUACAUGGAGAGAAAAAAAAUCUUGAUUUAAACCAGUCCUACUUUUUUUCAUCUGUGAGCAACUUCCAGAAGAAUAAGGCAUAUGUUGAGAUAAAUAUAAUGAAAAGUCAAGUAUUGAAGGAUAAGAAGAUGCAUAUGAAGUACCAAGAGAGCUCAGGGGAGAGAGGGACCCCAUCUGGCAAGAAGAAUCAGGAAGUGAAGUUUUGUCCACAGACCUUCAGGCAGAAAUCUUUUUCUUGACUGAGAGCUGCUGCUUCGGGCCCCACACAGAGAUGAAACAAGUUAGUCUUUCAUUGCUGUCAUGAGAAGACUUAAAAGACACUGAUAAAAAUAUCAUGGAUUCAUAAGGACAUUAUCAAAAAGCUCACAAAAUAAGUGAGUGAACAUGAUUAUCUCUUAGUGUGGAAAAAAAAAAUAAAAAACUGACCAUCUCCUCCCCCA
rnacentral:lncRNA from 1 species